CGGUUAUUUUGUUUCUGUGUGAUUAAAAUAUAAAUUUAAGUGGCUAAUAGUAAAAAGAAGUGAAAUAUGGUUAGCCGAGGACGUUUUUUAGUUGAACUUGCACGUGAGCAAUCAAAGACUGAUCAUAAUAAUGAAGUAUUACUUCAUGAAACAGUGCAACAUCAUAAGGAUGUAAUACCAAUCACAACAAUUUAUGAGUCUGAGGCUUCAGAAUGUACACAUGGACAUGACACUUUUUCAAAUCAUCACCUAGAAAACAGUCCAGAACCCGGUCAUGAUCAUUUGAUUACAGAUUUACCUGAUAAUACAAUAAAUCCAGGCCACAACCCAAACCCCUUCACAACAAAUGAAACUUUGGACUUUUCAAGUGAUACUUCUUCCAGUUAUCACCCAGAUGAAAACUCAGAAAACAGU